GACGAACGCUGGCGGCGUGCUUAACACAUGCAAGUCGAACGGAAAGGCCCUGCUUUUGUGGGGUGCUCGAGUGGCGAACGGGUGAGUAACACGUGAGUAACCUGCCCUUGACUUUGGGAUAACUUCAGGAAACUGGGGCUAAUACCGGAUAGGAGCUCCUGCUGCAUGGUGGGGGUUGGAAAGUUUCGGCGGUUGGGGAUGGACUCGCGGCUUAUCAGCUUGUUGGUGGGGUAGUGGCUUACCAAGGCUUUGACGGGUAGCCGGCCUGAGAGGGUGACCGGCCACAUUGGGACUGGGAUACGGCCCAAACUCCUACGGGAGGCAGCAGGGGGGAAUUAUGCACAAUGGGCGGAAGCCUUAUGCAGCAACGCCGCGUGCGGGAUGACGGCCUUCGGGUUGUAAACCGCUUUCGCCUGUUACGAAGCGUGAGUGACGGUAAUGGGUAAAGAAGAACCGGCUUACUACGUU
rnacentral:rRNA from 1 species